UCGCCGUCGCCGUAGCAAGUUACCGUAGUAGUCGUGGUGGUGGUGGUGGUGGUGGUGGAGGUGGUGCUCGUCGUAAUCGUCAUAGUGAUCGUCGCAACAGCAGCAGCAGCUGUCGUAGUCGUAGUGGUUGUCGUAGUAGUCGUGGUCUUAAGUCAGAGUCGCCGUAACAAUAGCAGUGACAGUCAUAGUGAAAUCUCACUGCCGCCCCCUUCUCUUUUCUUCUUCGUCUUUUUCCUCCUCCUCGUCGUGGUGGUGGUCGCCUCGCCUCUGUGAGUGAGUGAGUGUCUCUCUCUCUCUCUCUCUCACUCUUGCCUUUUCUUUCUCACUCUCUCUCUCUCCUCUCUGCCGUCUUUUUUUUUUCCUUCUCUCGUUCUUUCUUCUAUCAUCAUCAUCACCACCACCACCACCACCAGGUAUCAGAGAAGACGGACGGACGGACGGACAGACAGACAGACAGACCAGCAAACACAAGCACACGGACUGAUAGACAAGGCAGGCAGGCAGUCAGACAGAACCAACAUUAUCACCAACACCAACACCAACAUUAAUCGCCAAACACCAAUAACAAACACUAUUAACAUUUAAGACCAGCAGCAAAGCGUCAACGCAUCGCAUCCAGGGGAACGGACACCGCCGCUCGAUCGCGAACACUCUUACUACGAGUACCGUUAUUACUCUCCAUACCUACUGUUAUUAGUGGUAAUAUUGGUGGUAUUGGUGGUGGUGGUGGUCGGGAAGAUGUGCGAAAAGUCGGAGGAGCAGAUUUUACGUUAUUCUAUGUUAGAAGAUGACCCCAACUCUAACAGUUUGUUUGCCGAAAAGGAACGGAAACCUCGUUGGGGACCACAGCACGCUGGGGCCAAGGAAUUGGCCAGCCUUUACACCAAGGAUAUCAUCAGAAAAAGGUAAUUAAAAUUCAUUAAAAUGACAGAUCUAUUGGAUUUUCAAAGAGGUCAAAUUGUUGGUGUUCGAAAUGUUUGGUAUAUCAAGAAGUACUGUCUCAAAAGUAAUGACAGCCUUUUAAGAAAGAGGGGAAAAUCUCCUUGUCGAAACAAAACUCCAGAAGAAAACCAAAACUUUCAGAUAGGGAUUGUCGGACUCUUAUGCAAAUUGAAAGGAUUACAAAGGUACAGCUCCCAAAAUCACUGCAGAGCUUAAUGACCACCUCGAGAACCCAGUUUCCACAAAAAUUGUUCGCUGGGAGCUGCACAAAGGAGGGCUGCAAACAGAAAACGACUACUUUAAAAAACAAACGUUGCAAAGCGUUUUUAGAGUGGAGGAAAAACCUACAGAAUUGGUCCCUAGAGCAGUGGAAGAAGGUUAUUUUCUCAGACAAGUCAUCCUUUACCCUAUUUCCGACCAUUGGCCGAGUAUACGUGUGGAGACAGCCAAAAGAAGCAUUUGACUCAGACUGCCUUCUUCCAACUGUUAAACAUGGAGGAGGAUCUGUGAUGAUCUGGGUGGGGGGCUACAUCUUAGAAAUCCGCUAGCCCAAUGGUUUCCCUUUAAGGCAGAAUUAAUAGUGAAGACUAUUUAAGCAUUUUAUCUGAUCAAAUUCAUCCUAUGGUUGCGGAACUGUUACUGGAGGGAAACGCAAUCUUCCAGGAUGAUAAUGCACCAAUUCACAACAGCUAAAGUUGUUACUGAAUGGCAUGAGGAACAUUCUAGUGAAGUUGAACAUUUUAUCUGGCCACCACAGUCCCCAGAUCUCAAUAUUAUUGAACAUUUAUAGAGCAUUUUAUAAAAACAAAUAAGGAGUCGAUAUCCUCCACCAUCAUCACUACAAGAACUGGAGACUGUUUUAGCUGAAGAAGGGACAAAAAUUCCUUUGAAAACAAUUGAAGCUUUGUACGAGUUCAUACCUCAUAGAAUUCAAACUGUAAUUAAUAUCAAAGGUGGUCCUACCCCAUCUUAAAAUAAAUUUGUUUGAAAUUUUAA